GUGGAUUAGAUACCCUGGUAGUCCACACCCUAAACGAUGAAUACUAGAUGUUGGCCCUUUCGGGGGUCAGUAUCACAGCUAACGCAUUAAGUAUUCCACCUGGGAAGUACGAUCGCAAGGUUGAAACUCAAAGGAAUUGACGGGGGCCCGCACAAGCAGUGGAGCAUGUGGUUUAAUUCGAUGCAACGCGAAGAACCUUACCUAGGCUUGAAAAGCAAGCUAAAGCAGAUGAAAGUCUGUGUGCCGCAAGGCGAGCUUGUACAGGUGCUGCACGGCUGUCGUCAACU
rnacentral:rRNA from 1 species